rnacentral:rRNA from 1 species
CCCUUAGAUGUUCUGGGCCGCACGCGUGCUACACUGAGUGGAUCAGCGGGUCAGGUUGCGCGAAAGUGUUUCCUAAUCUUGAAAUCCGCUCGUGAUGGGGAUUGACGGUUGCACUUUUCCGUCAUGAACGAGGAAUACCUUGUAAGCGCGGGUCAUCAUCCCGCGCUGAAUACGUCCCUGCCCUUUGUACACACCGCCCGUCGCUCCUACCGAUUGAGUGGUCCGGUGAGGCUUUGGGAUCUGAGCAAAGAGAGCGUUUCGCUCGUUUUGCCCGGAAAACUCAGUCGAACCUUAUCAUUUAGAGGAAGGAGAAGUCGUAACA